UAGGGAAUCUUCGGCAAUGGGGGGAACCCUGACCGAGCAACGCCGCGUGAGUGAAGAAGGUUUUCGGAUCUUAAAGCUCUGUUGUUAAGGAAGAACGAGUGUGAGAAUGGAAAGUUCAUACUGUGACGGUACUUAACCAGAAAGGGACGGCUAACUACGUGCCAGCAGCCGCGGUAAUACGUAGGUCCCGAGCGUUGUCCGGAUUUAUUGGGCGUAAAGCGAGCGCAGGCGGUUAGAAAAGUCUGAAGUGAAAGGCAGUGGCUCAACCAUUGUAGGCUUUGGAAACUGUUUAACUUGAGUGCAGAAGGGGAGAGUGGAAUUCCAUGUGUAGCGGUGAAAUGCGUAGAUAUAUGGAGGAACACCGGUGGCGAACGCGGCUCUCUGGUCUGUAACUGACGCUGAGGCUCGAAAGCGUGGGGAGCGAACAGG
rnacentral:rRNA from 1 species